rnacentral:tRNA from 1 species
GGGCCCAUAGCUCAGUUAGAACCUUUUGACUUCUCAUAAGUCUUUCGGUUCCUGAUAUGGAUAGAGCGGCACCGUCCUAUUCGAAGAAGAGGUUUUCGAAAACCUUUUUCUAAAAGGUUUCAGGUGAAGGAUUCCUUCACCGGCUAAAGGUGAAGGUCGUGAGUUCAAAUCUCAUUGGGCCCG